CAGUGCAGCGACCUAUGGGCCUAGAAGGGCCCCCGCCAGACCACAUUUUGCUGGCCAGUCACGGGUGGCAGAAACUGCUGGCCUCUCUUUCGACAGCCCACAGGAAACAUUUGCACCUCCAGCACUUUCUGCACAAAGCGCUCCAUGGGAGCAACACCCGUGUGUGGUUUAGAAGCCAUUUGCUACACUGCUUUGAAAUUCAUCUUUCUAUACGACCUCUGGGGGUGCAGUGAAAGACCUAAACCCUCCUGCUGUCUACGCAUGUAGUUAUGGUGAGAGAAUUAAAUGACACUGAAAAUUCUGGAAAUGAGGAGAAACAGACUAAAACUUCAGGCAUCAGGAGAAUGAUGAGAGAGAAGAGUCUUUUAGGAGCAACUUUGAUCUACCUCAUGAGUCCAAGAUUUUUGAUUUAUGUGAGCUGUGCCUUAUCGAUGUGGG